AUCUACAUUGCUAAACAAUCGUCUUCAAGAGUCAAGGCUACUGGGUUGCAGUUUGAUAGUUUCAGGUAUUGUUAUUAACCCGAGACUUCGCCCCAGUUCUGAACAACACAGCCACCUCGUGCUGCUCCGGCCACGGUUUGAGGAUGGCCUGGGGGUGUCUUUUGUCUACUCGGAGGUGCAGGCAAUAGGUGGUGAAAAGUCUGCAGUGACCGUGCUGGAGCCCUGGGAGCCCCCCCCCACGGAGAGACGCUCUCUGAGGAUAAAGCAGAGCCCUGGGCCCUGAGAUGGGGGGUCUGGCCAGAAAAGGGGACCCUCGGCCUUGGCCAUUCUGCUCUCCUCCAGAGGCAGAGAAGUUGCACAGCUGUGGCCCAGCUGCCAGGGGAGCAAGAAGCAACGCUCUGGCUUCCGCUUUAAGAGGCCUUGAAGGGGGGGAUUCCCCAAACGUCAGAAGGUGUUCAGAAGAUGCUGGCAGCUGCAAGGCACCGCACGUGUCUGCUUGGGUAUCGCAACCGAAGGUGGAACGCUCCAUGCAAGGACAUCUGGUGUGUCCGACAAUAGUGGAGAUAAACGACAACACCAGGAUUUCUUAACACUGAAAUGGCUUCAUGCCCAGGGGCUGCCUUGUGAAAUGCUUCUUGCAGGAAAAGGUUUCACUGUAUUUAAACUAUGCUUCACUGUGAAUCCAGGCUUAUUUAAGUGGCAAUAUUCUGUAGUGCUUUAAAAAUAUGCCCAUAAGUGCUUUGAUGCUCCUCUCUUCCGGAGACAGAGCCGGAGUCCCUCUCCUUGGGGCUGGGCCGGACCUGGGGACUCGUCCUCAAUGAACGGAAUAAAG